rnacentral:rRNA from 1 species
AUUGAACGCUGGCGGCAUGCCUUACACAUGCAAGUCGAACGGCAGCACGGGGCAACCUGGUGGCGAGUGGCGAACGGGUGAGUAAUGCAUCGGAACGUACCUUUCAGUGGGGGAUAACGUAGCGAAAGUUACGCUAAUACCGCAUAUUCUGUGAGCAGGAAAGCAGGGGAUCGCAAGACCUUGCGCUGAUUGAGCGGCCGAUGUCAGAUUAGCUAGUUGGUGAGGUAAAGGCUCACCAAGGCGACGAUCUGUAGCGGGUCUGAGGGGAUGAUCAGCCAGUCUGGAGCUGAGACACGGUCCAGACUCCUACGGGAGGCAGCAGUGGGGAAUUUUGGACAAUGGGGGCAACCCUGAUCCAGCCAUGCCGCGUGAGUGAAGAAGGCCUUCGGGUUGUAAAGCUCUUUCGGCCGGGAAGAAAUCGCACGGGCUAAUACCCUGUGUGGAUGACGGUACCGGAAUAAGAAGCACCGGCUAACUACGUGCCAGCCGCCGCCGUAA